rnacentral:rRNA from 1 species
AUUGAACGCUGGCGGCAGGCUUAACACAUGCAAGUCGAACGAGUGGCGGACGGGUGAGUAAUGCUUGGGAAUCUAGCUUAUGGAGGGGGAUAACUACGGGAAACUGUAGCUAAUACCGCGUACCAUAGGAUGAGCCCAAGUGGGAUUAGGUAGUUGGUGAGGUAAAGGCUCACCAAGCCGACGAUCUCUAGCUGGUCUGAGAGGAUGACCCGCCCACCCUGGACGUGGACACCGGCCAGACUCCGUCGGGAGGGCAGCGGUGGGAAUAUUUGCGAAUGGGGGGCACCCGACGCAGCCAAUGCGCGGUAAUUAAUGAGGCCCUCGGGUUUGUAAGGUUUUUCGGGUGGGAGGCGUUAAAUACAGAAGAAGCACCGGCUAACUCCGUGCCAGCAGCCGCGGUAAUAC